rnacentral:lncRNA from 1 species
ACACUUCGUGGGAGGAUCAUUGUACCUUGGAAGAAAGCCUCCAAGUAAACCGUGCACCAGUGGGGCGAAUCUUUCUCUAAGACCACCUUAGGGCAUGCCUCGAUUGAUAAGCAUUUUUUCUCCUUUUUAUAUUACUACAUUCUUACUAGCCUUUCCCCUACUUUAUGUAUUAUUUCCUACAUACUAAGCCUCCAAGAUAUGUUGAGAAUUGAAAAAAAAAAAGAUAAGCUUAUUUAACUUUAUGUUCUUCAUUAUAUGCCAUUGAUGUCAUUUCUAGGCCUAGCAAUGGCUAUAUAGUUUAAUUAUAAGUUUCUAACUAGAACAUCUUUCAAAAUAUAAACAGGGCUAGUGAAUUCAUUGAAUUUAAAGAAUUUGAAAGACAGACUAUAAAAUGAUGUAGGAACGACAUUUAAAUGAAGAAGGGGAAAUUAUUAAUAUAAUGACAAGCUGGCAACAAGACCCAUUUAUGAUGUGUGACACUUUAUCUCUAAGAAAAUACUUGUUGCAACCCCUUACUGAUAAGCUCCCUUCCCUGCCCCCCAACUAGUUAAUGUAGCUUCCAUAUAAGACAUCCAGACAAAAGA